UGCAUCUGCAGAUUCCCAGCCACGGGUGAAAAAUACUGUUUUAUAUCUGUGGUUGGUUGGAUCCGUGGAUG
rnacentral:miRNA from 1 species